rnacentral:rRNA from 1 species
AUUGAACGCUGGCGGCAGGCCUAACACAUGCAAGUCGAAUGGUAACAGGAAACAGCUUGCUGUUUCGCUGACGAGUGGCGGACGGGUGAGUAAUGUCUGGGAAACUGCCUGAUGGAGGGGGAUAACUACUGGAAACGGUAGCUAAUACCGCAUAACGUCGCAAGACCAAAGAGGGGGACCUUCGGGCCUCUUGCCAUCAGAUGUGCCCAGAUGGGAUUAGCUAGUAGGUGGGGUAACGGCUCACCUAGGCGACGAUCCCUAGCUGGUCUGAGAGGAUGACCAGCCACACUGGAACUGAGACACGGUCCAGACUCCUACGGGAGGCAGCAGUGGGGAAUAUUGCACAAUGGGCGCAAGCCUGAUGCAGCCAUGCCGGGUGGAUUAAGAAGGCCUUUGGGUUGUAAAAUACUUUCAGCGGGGAGGAAGGGAGUAAAGUUAAUACCUUUGCUCAUUGACGUUACCCGCAGAAGAAGCACCGGCUAACUCCGUG